UUAAAUGUAUUUUUGUAGUAAUGUAAGUAUUAGUUAUAGUUUUAAUUGUGGUACUAGUGGUAGUAGCAGUAGAAGAGUAUAGGCCAGAACUUGACUGUCCAACCUGCGGUCGGUACUGGCCUUCAGCGUUUCAAUGUAGCCAUUUAGUUCGCUCACUUGCCUUUUCAGGUUGUGCACUUCAUUUGUGGCACUUGAAAGUUCGCUCGCUUGCUUUUUCCAGUAGUGCACUUCAUUCAUGGCACGAGAAAGUUCAUUCCUCUCAUUGUACCAUUGAGGAGUAGUCCAAAGCAGUGCCGGCGUGUCUAUGCUUUUUGCCGGAGCACCAGACCGUCUAGUUGCUGCUAAAACACGCCAGAGACGGUCAUGAAGAGAUUAUUUUGAACCCAAUAGCCUGAAAUUAGCAACAAACUGAAUACCAACCUACUGAAUGCCAACAUCUGAAAAAUAUGAUUUGGAAGUGUAUUACCACGGAGCCAACAGACAUCAGGUGCCUAUGUCUUCAGCGACUGCCUGUCAUCUUAGCGGAUGAUUCUUCUACAUUCUUCAAGACAUGCUCUGAUGUAACUGACACGGACUCGUACAGUGGAACUCCAGUUGGAAUUCUCUGCCUUGGUCAAGAAAAUGCCCAGCUCAACCCAUCCAGAGUCGGGAUCAUCUUGAAAGGGUCUGUGGUAAUGGAGGACCUGGCCAACCUGCCUCAGGCCUUCUGUGUCCUUUUCGGACUCCACACAGAAAGGCCGCUGGGCAGAGUCGAACCCAGGACCUUCUUGCUGUGCCGCCCUAACAAAUUUACAAAUCUAUGUUCCUCUAAUUGCCCCCCCCCCCCCAAAUGAUGGUAAAUGGACGGUUUGUCAGGAAAUAGUGAAUAGUUCUCCUCCUGAAGUGAGAAUGAUUUGGACUCUCUGGUGGUUUGACGUAGACCGUUCUGGUUGACGAGGGUUCAGCCUAAAGGCACAGAGUUCACUGUGGAGGGUUGCAUCAGAUGUUCCAACCCGGCAAUAAUAGAAUUGUAGACUGAGGAUUGUGGUACAAAUAAUUGCUCCUGCGGCUGAUCGGCAAGGCAGCUGUAAUCCUCACUAAUCACUCCAAAUUGAUUGUGUUUGCAGUCGUGAUUGUUUUGCAGUGGCUUCGUAUUUUUGUGGUGUUUCAGAAGACACGAGUUUCCCCUCCCGUGUUCCGUUCUUUUCUUCCUGCUGGCUGCGUUUAUCUGCGGCGGCAUGCGGAUGAUGCGUCAGCAGCAGCAUGUGAUGUUUCUGCCAAUCACGUCGGCCCGAGUCUCUAAUCCUUCCCUUCCCUGCUUCUAAAUCCUCACUUCAGGCAUCCGCGCUCUCCCAUCUAGACAAUCCAUCUCCGGCAAGCUUUCCUCUCUGAGACGAGAGAUCAUUGAUGAGUGAUAAAAGCUUAGACUUUAAUCCCUAACACAUACAGGAUUAUAGGACAAGUGUUGCUCGUUUGAAGCAGUAGCGCUCGAUGUGACUUUGAGAAGACAAGGGCGAACUUUUUCAGUUCACUUGUAAUAAUUAUGAAAGUAAAUGUCCGACCACACUGAAUACUAUUAUUAUUAUCUAAAUGCAAACUGAAAAUGCAUUUAGAUAAUAACCACGGGGACACUCUUCAUUUUCCUCUCUAGCUUUUAUUGAAUUUUCCUAUUUAUUCAUUUUCAUCAGACAUACAGAGAUAGAUUUAGAUGUUUUCUUUUACAUUUCUUCAUUAUGCAAGACAAAGCCACAUGUCAUGGGGUAAACGUUCCUUUCUUAUUGAUUGAUCCAGAGUACAAAGAGCAACCGUUCAUUACUUAUUGAUUUGUUUUAGAUUUGUGUGUUCUUUCCUGGAUUCAUAACUUUACCUCUCAGAUGCCUUUGCUACUUCCUCCAGUAAAUCAAUGAAUACUAAGACAUCUCGAAGUUUCAAUACAUGAAAAUUCAAAUGCACGCUCAGAAAGCAUGUGAAAAUAUUUUAUUCCAUAAAAGACGAAAAUCUGGGGAGGAAAGGCACAAACGCUUCCACCUCCAACUGUGCUUUCAAUAAGCAUGUCAUACAAAAUGUUGGUAGGGCAGAAAGUUCCUUUUUUACAUCCUCAAUGUCAAACACAAUCCACUUGAAAUUCCCUAUGCUUGAUUAAAAUGAGAAAGAAGCUAGAAGUCCGUUUUUAUCAAUCAAGGAGAACAUUAUUAUGGAGGAAGAAACUACGGUCAUCAAAUGUUAAACAAUUUAUAUUGUUUUUUUAAACUUAUUUUUCUUUCUCCCUUGCUCGUUAAAGGUUUGUUAUGCAGAUAAUAAAUCCUAUACUCUAUCGUCUAGCCAAGGCUGCUUUUCGUUCUUUGGAGGUGUGAAGAGGCUUAAGAUUUCACCUUGCACUGUAAUUACGGGAGGCCCCGCUGCCUCAGGGAGUAAUCUCACUCCAGCCGAGGUGUGAGGACGGCUCAGCGCAGCGGCCUCGGAAACCGCAGAGCUGUUAGAGCGAGCCGACCUCGACAUCAGUCAGGCCACAGCCGCUCAGUGCCAUCGACCCCACCGCAAAGGAGCCAACAUAACGCUUAUUCCUCUCAUAGAAAUGUGCAGCGUUAAUUAUUGUGGAAACAAGUGAAACAUCCAGCCCAAAAAGGCCCUUUGGCUCCCAAAAUGUCAAACAUUUCCUUUUUAAAUUGUAAUUUUACCCAACUAAUAAAACAAUUAUCAUCCUCCUGCAGCAAUAUAAUUAAUGGAAUUAAUUUUCUUUUACUCACGCCACUUAUGAAUUAAAUGGAAAGAAAUUACCAGAAAGUAUCUUGCCCCAAAACACUGUCUCCGAUAUAUUGGUGUCUGUUUGUCAGCCGCAAGGCUACAUCUCCCAAGUAUUUCUAUAUAUAAUGAAUCCUAUGAU